UACGUAGGGGGCGAGCGUUGUCCGAAGUUACUGGGCGUAAAGCGCGCGUAGGCGGUUCUCUAAGUUUGGGGUGAAAGGUUCAGUGCUCAACGCGAACAGUGCCCUGGAGACUGGAGAACUUGAGUGUGGGAGGGGGCAGUGGAAUUCCUGGUGUAGCGGUGAAAUGCGUAGAUAUCAGGAGGAACACCGGUGGCGAAGGCGGCUGCCUGGCCUAACACUGACGCUGAGGUGCGAAAGCGUGGGGAGCGAACGGG
rnacentral:rRNA from 1 species